ACGGGGGGUGCAAGCGUUAUUCGGAAUUACUGGGCGUAAAGAGCGCGUAGGCGGUCUUUUAAGUCGGAUGUGAAAGCCCGGGGCUCAACCCCGGAAGUGCACUCGAAACUAUUAGACUUGAGUAUGGGAGAGGGAAGUGGAAUUCCUGGUGUAGCGGUGAAAUGCGUAGAUAUCAGGAGGAACAUCGGUGGCGAAGGCGACUUCCUGGACCAAUACUGACGCUGAGGCGCGAAGGCGUGGGGAGCAAACAGG
rnacentral:rRNA from 1 species